CUACGCCCUUUAGCAUUUCUUGUAGGACAGGUCUGGUGUUGAAGAAAUCCCUCAGCUUUUCUUUGUUUGGUAAAGGCUUUAUUUCUUCUUCAUGUUUGAAGGAUAUUUUCACCAUGUGUCCUAUUCUAAGUUCUCCAGGGUUGAUUUUAGGAGCAGAAGACCACAGCCUGAACUUGAUUAUCAUCUUGGCAGCUACAGAAAUCAGGACCUUCAGAGAUGAAGUUUGAUUACCCCACAG
rnacentral:lncRNA from 1 species